CUGAGCCGGCCGCGCCCUCGCCCCUCCCGGGCCUGCCCCCGCCGCGGCUGGCAGCGCCGAGGAUUUGGAACACUUCUGAUCCCAGAGGUGAAGGAAGCCAGUGCCAGUUGGUCAGAUGGAAUUUGCAUCUGGAUCCCCUUCUUCAUCUCUCAGCUGAGACGGUGGUCCCUGGUGAUUCCCGUGAGAGUGGGCCAGAAGAUCACUUCAGGCAGAGGCUAGGUUGUUUUUGGGAGUUACCCCUGCUGAAGUGACAGAGAGGACUCCCAUGUGACACUCUGAGGUGGCUUUGAGGACCUCCAUUUGGGCUGAUGGAGGCUUCCCAUGCCCUCUCUGUCCCCCGCUGAGAUUAUGGUGGAUUUGGGUUCUGGCCCGGACCCGGGCCUCCUGCUGCUGACCCAGCCCCAGAGGCGUUAGCAAGAGCCCUGCGCUGUCCACCCCCCAGCGACCACCCCUCCUGCGGGGGCCUGGA